UCGUGCGAGGCUAACUAGAAUUAGGGAAGCAAAGUGCAACACCUCAACGCCAUGGUCCACCAGGUUGUGUCUCUCCACGUGCGACAGACAGCUUCGUAAAGCCUUAGGCCUAAAGCCUCGCUACCCUGACAACAACCGGCAUCCAAAAACAACGCCCAAAAUGAGCGCAAAACAGGCAGCCGCGAGGAGACGUCAGCUCUGUGAGGUGGUCCUACUCCGCUCGGUGCACACAGCAUCCGAGUUGACGGCGCCCACCGUCCCAGACGGUGUCGGAGCGCCCGGUGCCAGACCGCAAUACCAGUCAGCCCGUAGUGGCACCCGUGGCCCGCGGCCACCCGGCUCCCUGAGCCGCGACUUCAUCCGAGUCAAAGAGAUAGAAGAAGCUAUUUACAUAAGAAAUUCGGACCACCCACGAGGCUUCCGUACUCGCUUCAGGCUUGCCACUGCUCCGCGGGCGCUCAGCCUCGCUCUCCCAGGAUGCAGACCACGUGGCUCUCGUACCAACGAAUGCCAUUAAAAAAAAAAAACACUUGCGAAAAGGCUUAGCAUGUUGACAUGUUCAAACACACUACAGCCACCGCCGCCUCGC
rnacentral:lncRNA from 1 species